rnacentral:lncRNA from 1 species
GUGUGAAUGUUUGGACCUUGGUGAAGUCAUUGUAUCCCUACUCCAGUUAACUCAGCCUUCUUGUGCUCUCUCUUAGUGAAUCUCACAUGGGACUGGCCUCAUCUUGGGGAGACUGGUGCUUCAAGAGGAGAUAUUUGCUAUUGCUGAGCAAUGAGACCCACAGUAGUUCUUGGGUGCAAAUGGAUUGAGUCCUUCCUCGCCACCUGGAUCUCCCAGCUUCCUUCAGAAGAGUAUGGGUGGAACAAGCUAGCAGAUCUCCAAAAGCGCUGUGAACCAAGAAGUGAAAUAACGAAGAGCCUGGAGACUGCACAGCUCCAGCUUGUAGGCCCUGGAGGGAGGCUGGAGUCCUCAGACCGACAGAAGGAAGACAGCUGAGGGGCGACCAGGAGGUGCCUGUGGCUGUGGAGUACAGGUGAGAGCCAGAGGGAGGAUGACCAGGGGGCUUAUGGGUAAAGAGGCCCAGAGCUCCUGACCUGGGAAAAUGGAUAGACCAGA